GAUGAACGCUGGCGGCGUGCCUAAUACAUGCAAGUCGAGCGAACAGACGAGGAGCUUGCUCCUCUGACGUUAGCGGCGGACGGGUGAGUAACACGUGGAUAACCUACCUAUAAGACUGGGAUCACUUCGGGAAACCGGAGCUAAUACCGGAUAAUAUAUUGCACCGCAUGGUUCAAUAGUGAAAGACGGUUUUGCUGUCACUUAUAGAUGGAUCCGCGCCGCAUUAGCUAGUUGGUAAGGUAACGGCCUACCAAGGCAACGAUGCGUAGCCGACCUGAGAGGGUGAUCGGCCACACUGGAACUGAGACACGGUCCAGACUCCUACGGGAGGCAGCAGUAGGGAAUCUUCCGCAAUGGGCGAAAGCCUGACGGAGCAGCGCCGCGUGAGUGAUGAAGGUCUUCGGGUCGUAAAACUCUGUUAUUAGGGAAGAACAAAUGUGUAAGUAACUAUGCACGUCUUGACGGUACCUAAUCAGAAAGCCACGGCUAACUACGUG
rnacentral:rRNA from 1 species